AGCACAUCACAUGAGAAUGACUGGCUUAUCUGCGUACACGCUUCAGCUCACCCUGCUGCUCAUCAUGUCAGUCAGACACACAAGAGGCCUACCCCUCAGCCCUGCUCCUCAACCAUGGACUCCCGCCUGGUUCAACAAAUUCCUGGCCUGCUCGUCUCAGCUUCCAUGGAAUCUCUGCUCUGCUCAGCUACGGUUUUUCCCCUGCUCUACACAUCCAGCCACCAACCCCGUUCUCCACGCAGAGUCUUCCACUCUGCCCUGCUCUUUCCCGGCUCAAUAUCCCAUCCCUUCAACCCUGCAAUAAAUAUUCAUAUUUUA